GGUUAAGUUAGAAAGGGCGCACGGUGAAUGCCUUGGCACUAGGAGCCGAUGAAGGACGGGACUAACACCGAUAUGCUUCGGGGAGCUGUAAGUAAGCUUUGAUCCGGAGAUUUCCGAAUGGGGGAACCCACUGCUCGUAAUGGA
rnacentral:ncRNA from 1 species